AUUAAUGGCUUUAAAAGAAAAAUAACUCCAAACGACUGGAAAAGUGGCCGUUAACUUUUAUUUUAUUUUAUGAAAAUUUGUAUAGAUUGAGGGCAUCAGACGGUGGGGAACUCAAUUAGAUUUAGCUUCAAAUCCAAUCGACAUUAUUCUAGUCUCCCCCCCCCACACACAGACGCAUACAUACAUAGAAAGAUAGAUCUUGCUACUCUCUAAAGGAGAGGUCUAUACUCUUCUUAGAUUCAAAAUCAAUAAUUGGGCAUGAUAAUAUAAGAUGUACUAUAUUGAUCAUAAAAAUCAAAAGUCAUAUUUUUUGUGGUCUCCAACAUAUCCAUCAAGUAGGCACAAAAUGAACAGCUAAUAUGAUAUGAGAACAUAUUUUGCUACGAUCUAAGCAUGAAAAUCUAUUAAUUUUUAACUUAUAAAUAUUUUCAUAUAUAAGUUGUGAUCACUAAAGUAGAUUCAUUAUUUAAAUGCUAUAUCUGUAUUUUAGCAUAUUAGCAUUGCAAGAACAGUCAUUCUUUUGUCUACUUGACGCAUAUGAUAGAUACCAAUAGAAUAUGUAAUUUCUUGUUGCUAGGCAUCUUUAGCUAUAUAGAUUAUGAUUUGGAUCCUUGAUUUGGGUGCUUAAUUGUAAGUCUUGGACUAGAGAGUAGAUAUCCUCUUUGCUCAAGACUCAAGAGGAGUGUA
rnacentral:lncRNA from 1 species